rnacentral:rRNA from 1 species
GAUGAACGCUGGCGGCGUGCUUAACACAUGCAAGUCGAACGAUGAAGCCCAGCUUGCCGGGUGGAUUAGUGGCGAACGGGUGAGUAACACGUGAGUAACCUGCCCUUAACUCUGGGAUAAGCCUGGGAAACUGGGUCUAAUACCGGAUAGGAGCGUCCACCGCAUGGUGGGUGUUGGAAAGAUUUAUCGGUUUUGGAUGGACUCGCGGCCUAUCAGCUUGUUGGUGAGGUAAUGGCUCACCAAGGCGACGACGGGUAGCCGGCCUGAGAGGGUGACCGGCCACACUGGGACUGAGACACGGCCCAGACUCCUACGGGAGGCAGCAGUGGGGAAUAUUGCACAAUGGGCGCAAGCCUGAUGCAGCGACGCCGCGUGAGGGAUGACGGCCUUCGGGUUGUAAACCUCUUUCAGUAGGGAAGAAGCGAAAGUGACGGUACCUGCAGAAGAAGCACCGGCUAACUACGU